CCUACUUUGUUCCUCCUUUCUUCCUCUUUUUCCCUUUCCUCCCUUCUGCCCCCGCCCUGCCGCGUGCCGGAUGACGGCUCUAUGAGUUGUAAACUGCUUUUAUACGAGGGUAAACCCCGAUACGUGUAUCGGGUUGAAAGUAUCGUACGAAUAAGGAUCGGCUAACUCCGUGCCAGCAGCCGCGGUAAUACGGAGGAUCCGAGCGUUAUCCGGAUUUAUUGGGUUUAAAGGGUGCGUAGGCGGUUUGAUAAGUUAGAGGUGAAAUGUCGGGGCUCAACCCCGAAACUGCCUCUAAUACUGUUGGACUAGAGAAUAGUUGCGGUAGGCGGAAUGUAUGGUGUAGCGGUGAAAUGCUUAGAGAACAUACAGAACACCGAUUGCGAAGGCAGCUUACCAAACUAUAUCUGACGUUGAGGCACGAAAGCGUGGGUAGCAAACAGGAUUAGAUACCCUUGUAGUC
rnacentral:rRNA from 1 species